GUUUAGAGACUGCUUUCCUUCUUCAGAACAUUUUAGAAAUUAAUGCUGUGUGAUAGCUCCAUAAUGUCCUUCCUCUGAAGGCCUGAGCUGCAGGCCUGCAAUGCACAGUAUCAAGUCAGAGGCCUCCCAGCAGCUGGCCCCUCAGGCUGCGUCCUGUCGAUGGGCAGCCAGGCUAGUGCUGGGUUCGUCUUAUGUGCACAGCCUCGCUUAUUAAGAGGUCUCACAACUGAAAUCAAUUGCUUGGGUUGAGCCUGCAAAGGUAUUGUUUACUUUUUAUUCCCAAAGAUAAUUUCUUUUUAAUUGCUCUUUUAAUAAGCGGGGAGAUCUAAGCUAAGGUAGCAAUGGGGAAUAAGUAAGACCUGAAAUUGGGAAACGGCGGCGCAGGCACAGCUCCUCACUGCUCCCCCCUUCGUGCUGUGAACGGCGCUCAGAGCAGAGCUGCUGGGGGGAGGACACAGGGUUGCCGCUUUGGCUGCAUUGUGUCUUCUUACACUGGAUGGAAUAUGAAAUACGACGGGGAGGGAACGUGUGGGAAGGGCAUUAAUAGGCUUUGUUCUCCAGGAGGCUGGUGUUUUAAAGGAGGCUUUCCUGUGGGGGGGAGAGGGAGGGAGGAAGGUGGGGGCUGUGUGGAAGCAAGUAGAUUGGAGUCAUGGGGACACCUGAGGAGCUGGGGGGGGGGCGGUCAUUAGAAAGCACCUUCUCAGGUGACCCAGAUGUUCACUUAAAAACAAUCUGCCACUGGGCACAGCUAAUAUGUGAGCAUCUACUCCGGGGUAGUGUGCCAGAGGCAUGCGUGUCUAAUCCUCACAGCACUCCGGCAAAUGGUUGGUCUUAUUGAUUUCAUUUUAUAGACGAGGAGAGGGAGGACAGACAAGGAAAGGAACUUCUGCAAGAUCCUACUGCUUGUGGGAGGUGAGGCGGAGUGUAAACUCACGGCCCCUCACAGCCCUUCCCGGGACCAGUAGCGUGGAGGCUUGAAUGGCUUUUAAUGAGCCUCUGCGCCUCGGCCUCGUGUGCGGAAACGUUAGCGGGGUGCCUGCUGGACACCUAGGGGGUCGUCUGCGGCUCAGCAGCACCUGGUAAGGGGCUCUGUUCCUGAGGUCGGGGAGGGGAAGCCGAGGCUGGUGGGUGGACUCAUUUGCCUGAAGGCAGAGCCUUAGUGAGUGUGUGGAGGUCCUGUGCUGGCUCUCUCACCCCCACUGCCUUCUGAAGCCCGGCCUGACACUUCACCCUUCCUCUCCUGCAGACGCGUGUCCCUCAUGUGCAGCAGCCACGGGAAGGGAGCACAUCCGCCCUCCUGGGGCGCCCACGGAGGGAGACAGGCACAGCAGGUGGAAGCCUGUGGUAGGACAGCUAGGGAGCCAUGUGCCUGUCCCCCUCUGGAAGAUGCGGAUGAAGGGGUUAGGUGCUCAGAGGAGUUCAGCAGCCAAAGAAAUAUGUUUACCUUUAUUAGCCUAGUCUUGCCCAAACUUUUGUGACUACCAAACAUUGCUUCCCCCGCAAGCCAUCUUCUAGCUCAGUGGGACAGACUUGGGGAG